rnacentral:tRNA from 1 species
GCCUCGAUAGCUCAGUCGGUAGAGCAACAGCCUUGUAAGCUGUAGGUCGCGGGUUCGAAUCCCGCCCGAGGCU